GAGGUAAAAGCGUCGGCAGGUUGCGCUCUGGUCCUUCACCGGGCCUCUGUGUGCCUGCCGGCGUCGGGCUCUGGAUCUUUUACUUUGAAAAAAUUAGAGUGUUUAAAGCAGGCCCUUAGUGCCUUGAAUACAUUAGCAUGGGAUAAUGGAAUAGGACCGGGCUCCUAUUUUCGUUGGUUUCCGGGGGACCCGGUAAUGAUCAAUGGAGAUGGUCGGGGUGAUUCAUAUUUAAUUGUCAGAGGUGAAAUUCUCAGAUUUAUAAAAGAUGCACUGGUGCGAAAGCGUCUCACAAGGACGUUUUCAUCGAUCAAGAACGAAAGUUAAGGGAUCGAAGACGAUCAGAUACCGUCGUAGUCUUAACCAUAAACGAUGCCGACCAGCGAUCAGGAGACGUUCAAAUUCAUACGACUCCCCUGGCAGCUUGAGAGAAAUCACGAGUCUUUGGGUUCCGGGGGGAGUAUGGUCGCAAGGCUGAAACUUAAAGGAAUUGACGGAAGGGCACCACCAGGAGUGGAGCCUGCGGCUUAAUUUGACUCAACACGGGGAAACUCACCAGGUCCAGACACAUUAAGGAUUGACAGAUUGAGAGCUCUUUCUUGAUCAUGUGGGUGGUGGUGCAUGGCCGUCCUUAGUUGGUGGAGUGAUUUGUCUGCUUAAUUGCGAUAACGAACGAGACCUUAACCUGCUAAAUAGCCCAGCCCGCUUCUGCGGGUUGCUGGCUUCUUAGAGGGACUAUCGG
rnacentral:rRNA from 1 species